rnacentral:rRNA from 1 species
AAGAGACAGCAGCAGCCGCUGUAAUACGGAGGGUGCAAGCGUUAUCCGGAUUCACUGGGUUUAAAGGGUGCGUAGGCGGAUCUGUAAGUCAGUGGUGAAAUCUCCAGGCUUAACCUGGAAACUGCCGUUGAUACUAUAGGUCUUGAAUUUUGUGGAGGUUAGCGGAAUAUGUCAUGUAGCGGUGAAAUGCAUAGAUAUGACAUAGAACACCAAUUGCGAAGGCAGCUGGCUACACAACUAUUGACGCUGAGGCACGAAAGCGUGGGGAUCAAACAGGAUUAGAUACCCCCGUAGUCCCUGUCUCUUAUAC